rnacentral:misc_RNA from 1 species
AUAUUCGAUGUGCUGAAUGUCAAAUGAGAAUAGCUGAAAUAAUGUCAAGAAUGGCUGGUAAGAUAUCUAAUGUCCUCUACUCUGAUGCUAAGCUUCCACAAAAAUGUAAUAAGUUCUUAUUAUUCUUUGCCAGUGUAACAAUUAUUUUAGAAAUUGUCCUUGGAAGGAUUUUCCUAAAGUUAAAUUGGUGGCUCUGCUACUCUCUAGACAUGGAUACAUAGUUUUGAAGGAAAAUGGAAAAGUGUUCUUUUCAUUUUCGCCUGGUGGCUUGCCUUCUAUGACAACCUUUUCCUAAUUUCUUUUAUUUGGACUGAGUGCUUUCAAUGGUAGAUUCCACAGAUGGCUAUGCCUCUAACGCAUAAAGCUGAUAUUAUGUUCACAGAAGGUGGUCCAGAAAUGUUAAGAGAUUAGAGAAAAAGAAAAGGGGAAAAUAUGAAGUUUUGAAUUGACAAGUCAGUGCAUCUUGCAUUCUAGGGUUGAAACUCUCGCUAGAGCUGUUCUGCAAAUUUUCAUAUUGUAAUUAACGACUUUAGUUUGACUUGCCUGCACUGUUCUUUACAGUUUUUAGAUGUUUAUGAUCGUUGGAAUUAUUCAAGUAGGGUAUCUUGCACAUUCAUAUUUCUGUGUUCUUUUGCUACAGUUGGACCACAUUAAAGUUAUUUGCAACUUGAAUUUGUGGUGUAGAAUAUUCAGAAAGAAUACUCAAAGGAGAAGUAGAAAUAUACUCUCAAAUUUUAUUAAUAUAAUUUUCAAAUGUCAAUACUAAUUAUAAUAAGUUCUAUAGGAAAAUACCUAAAUUACAUAGGUAU